rnacentral:misc_RNA from 1 species
CGUCGAAACUGACCGCAUUCCGGGAGACGUGUGUUGCGUGCCCGUUUGCGCGAAGGCUUGAUUCAUGGACGAUCUGUUGCGUGAGUUUCUUACCGAGACGAACGAAAGUCUCGACACUGUCGACAACCAACUGGUUCGUUUCGAACAGGAUCCAAACAACGCGAAGAUUCUCGAUAACAUCUUCCGGCUCGUUCACACGAUCAAAGGCACCUG